ACUCGGGGAUAGCCUUUCGAAAGAAAGAUUAAUACCCGAUGGCAUAGUUCUUCCGCAUGGUAGAACUAUUAAAGAAUUUCGGUCAUCGAUGGGGGUGCGUUCCAUUAGGUUGUUGGCGGGGUAACGGCCCACCAAGCCUUCGAUGGAUAGGGGUUCUGAGAGGAAGGUCCCCCACAUUGGAACUGAGACACGGUCCAAACUCCUACGGGAGGCAGCAGUGAGGAAUAUUGGUCAAUGGACGAGAGUCUGAACCAGCCAAGUAGCGUGAAGGAUGACUGCCCUAUGGGUUGUAAACUUCUUUUAUACGGGAAUAAAGUGAGGCACGUGUGCCUUUUUGUAUGUACCGUAUGAAUAAGGAUCGGCUAACUCCGUGCCAGCAGCCGCGGUAAUACGGAGGAUCCGAGCGUUAUCCGGAUUUAUUGGGUUUAAAGGGAGCGUAGGCGGACGCUUAAGUCAGUUGUGAAAGUUUGCGGCUCAACCGUAAAAUUGCAGUUGAUACUGGGUGUCUUGAGUACAGUAGAGGCAGGCGGAAUUCGUGGUGUAGCGGUGAAAUGCUUAGAUAUCACGAAGAACUCCGAUUGCGAAGGCAGCUUGCUGGACUGUAACUGACGCUGAUGCUCGAAAGUGUGGGUAUCAAACAGGAUUAGAUACCCUGGUAGUCCACACAGUAAACGA
rnacentral:rRNA from 1 species